CCAUAAACUUCUAUACAGUGUUUUUUCACUGAUCCACGAGGUAAAAAUAGACAGAGCUCUGAAACUACACACAGACCGCCGUGUCUGACACGCUAGUGUUGGCGAAUCGCGUCAGAUUCACACACGGAGUCCGUGUGAGAUUGAUCAUUGAGCUUUAUCUCCUGAGCAAUUCUUGAGCAUUACGAGCACUACUGACUCUCCACUGCAGAAUAUCCAACCAUCUAUUCAGAGCACAACCUGCAUUUUUCACUGCAGCUGAACGCCUGUUUUUUUUGGAUUUUCUCCAAACAGCAGUUCUUCUGAAUUGUUCUUCCCACC